AGUCGAACGGAAAGGCCCUGCUUGCAGGGUACUCGAGUGGCGAACGGGUGAGUAACACGUGGGUGAUCUGCCCUGCACUUCGGGAUAAGCUUGGGAAACUGGGUCUAAUACCGGAUAGGAGCCAUCUUUAGUGUGGUGGUUGGAAAGUUUUUUCGGUGUAGGAUGAGCUCGCGGCCUAUCAGCUUGUUGGUGGGGUAAUGGCCUACCAAGGCGGCGACGGGUAGCCGGCCUGAGAGGGUGUACGGCCACAUUGGGACUGAGAUACGGCCCAGUCUCCUACGGGAGGCAGCAGUGGGGAAUAUUGCACAAUGGGCGCAAGCCUGAUGCAGCGACGCCGCGUGGGGGAUGAAGGCCUUCGGGUUGUAAACUCCUUUCGCUAGGGACGAAGCUUUGUGUGACGGUACCUAGAUAAGAAGCACCGGCUAACUACGUGCCAGCAGCCGCGGUAAUACGUAGGGUGCGAGCGUUGUCCGGAAUUACUGGGCGUAAAGAGCUCGUAGGUGGUUUGUCGCGUCGUCUGUGAAGUUCUGGGGCUUAACUCCGGGCGUGCAGGCGAUACGGGCAUAACUUGAGUGCUGUAGGGGUAACUGGAAUUCCUGGUGUAGCGGUGAAAUGCGCAGAUAUCAGGAGGAACAUCGAUGGCGAAGGCAGGUUACUGGGC
rnacentral:rRNA from 1 species